UAAGUAGAAGCCAAUUAUUAGGCAGUUAUCUGUUACAUAACCUAUUGCUUUAUUAAAAGCCUACUUAA
rnacentral:tRNA from 1 species